rnacentral:rRNA from 1 species
UAAUACGUAGGGGGCGAGCGUUGUCCGGAUUUAUUGGGCGUAAAGAGCUCGUAGGCCGUUCGGUAAGUCAGAUGUGAAAACUCCAGGCUCAACUUGGAGACGCCAUCUGAUACUGCCGUGACUAGAGUCCGGUAGGGGAGCACGGAAUUCCUGGUGUAGCGGUGAAAUGCGCAGAUAUCAGGAGGAACACCAGCGGCGAAGGCGGUGCUCUGGGCCGGAACUGACGCUGAGGAGCGAAAGCGUGGGUAGCGAACAGG